rnacentral:rRNA from 1 species
CAUAUCAAUAAGCGGAGGAAAAGAAACCAACAGGGAUUGCCUCAGUAACGGCGAGUGAAGCGGCAACAGCUCAAAUUUGAAAUCUGGCCUCUCCGGGGUCCGAGUUGUAAUUUGUAGAGGGUCUUUCGGGUGAGGCACCGGCCUAAGUUCCUUGGAACAGGGCGUCAUAGAGGGUGAGAAUCCCGUAUGCGGCCGGCGACCGACCCCAUGUGAAAACCCUUCGACGAGUCGAGUUGUUUGGGAAUGCAGCUCUAAAUGGGUGGUAAAUUUCAUCUAAAGCUAAAUACCGGCCAGAGACCGAUAGCGCACAAGUAGAGUGAUCGAAAGAUGAAAAGCACUUUGGAAAGAGAGUUAAACAGUACGUGAAAUUGUUGAAAGGGAAGCGCUUGCCACCAGACCUGUCGUCGGGUGAUCAGCCGCCGUUCUCGGCGGUGUACUCGCCCGUUCGCAGGCCAGCAUCGGUUCGGGCGGUCGGAUAAAGGCCCCGGGAAUGUAGCUUCCUUCGGGGAGUCUUAUAGCCCGGGGUGCAAUGCGGCCAGCCUGGACCGAGGACCGCGCUUCGGCAAGGAUGCUGGCGUAAUGGUUGCAAGCGGCCCGUCUUGAAACACGGACCAAGGAGUCUAACAUCUGUGCGAGUGUUGGGGUGUCAAACCCAUACGCGUAAUGAAAGUGAACGGAGGUGGGAACCCCUGAGGGCGCACCAUCGACCGAUCCAGAUGUCUUCGGAUGGAUUUGAGUAAGAGCACAGCUGUUGGGACCCGAAAGAUGGUGAACUUUGCUUGAAUAGGGUGAAGCCAGAGGAAACUCUGGUGGAGGCUCGCAGCGGUUCUGACGUGCAAAUCGAUCGUCAAAUUUG